rnacentral:rRNA from 1 species
UACGAAGGGGGCUAGCGUUGCUCGGAAUCACUGGGCGUAAAGCGCACGUAGGCGGAUCUUUAAGUCAGGGGUGAAAUCCUGGAGCUCAACUCCAGAACUGCCUUUGAUACUGGGGAUCUCGAGUCCGGAAGAGGUGAGUGGAACUCCGAGUGUAGAGGUGAAAUUCGUAGAUAUUCGGAAGAACACCAGUGGCGAAGGCGGCUCUCUGGGCCUUACCUGACGCUGAGGAGCGAAAGCGUGGGUAGCGAACAGG